rnacentral:rRNA from 1 species
GACGAACGCUGGCGGCGUGCCUAAUACAUGCAAGUCGAGCGGACUUGACAGAGCUUGCUCUGUUCAAGUUAGCGGCGGACGGGUGAGUAACACGUGGGCAACCUGCCCUGCAGAUUGGGAUAACUCCGGGAAACCGGGGCUAAUACCGAAUAACAUGGAAAACCUCAUGGUUUUCUUUUAAAAGGCGGCUUCGGCUGUAACUGCAGGAUGGGCCCGCGGCGCAUUAGGCAGUUGGUGAGGUAACGGCUCACCAAGGCGACGAUGCGUAGCCGACCUGAGAGGGUGAUCGGCCACACUGGGACUGAGACACGGCCCAGACUCCUACGGGAGGCAGCAGUAGGGAAUCUUCCGCAAUGGACGAAAGUCUGACGGAGCAACGCCGCGUGAGUGAAGAAGGUUUUCGGAUCGUAAAACUCUGUUGUUAGGGAAGAACAAGUACCGGAGUAACUGCCGGUACCUUGACGGUACCUGACCAGAAAGCCACGGCUAACUACGUGCCAGCAGCCGCCGUAAUAC